rnacentral:rRNA from 1 species
AUUGAACGCUGGCGGCAUGCCUUACACAUGCAAGUCGAACGGAAGCACGGACUUCGGUCUGGUAGCGGGUGGCGACAGGGUGGGUCAUGUCUCGGAGUGUACCUUUCCGCGGGGGAAAACGUGCUGAUAGUGACGCUAAUACUGCAUAUUAUGUGUGAUGGCAAUCAGGGGGUCGAAAGACCUUGCGCUUAGUUAGUGGACGUUAUCAGAUUACCUAGUUGGUGGGGUAAAGGCCUACCAAGGCGGCGAUCUGUAGCGGGUCUGAGAGGCUGAGCCGCAACACUGGCACUGAGGCACGGCCCAGACUCCGACGGUGGGCAGCGGUGGGGAAUCUUGGACAAUGGAGGCAACCCUGAUCCAGCGAAGCCGCGGGAAGCAAGAAGGCCUUCGGGUGGGAGAGCGCUUUAGGUCGGGAAGAAAUCGCAUACUCUAAUACCCGGCGUGGAUGACGGUACCGGAAGAAGAAGCACCGGCUAACUACGUG